GGAAGUAAAAGUCGUAACGAGGUUUCCGUAGGUGAACCUGCGGAAGGAUCAUUAAAGAGAAUAUGCCCUUCGGGGUAGAUCUCCCACCCUUUGUUUAUAUUACCUUUGUUGCUUUGGCAGGCCCGUCUUCGGACCACCGGCUUCGGCUGGUCAGUGCUUGCCAGAGGACCCAAAACUCUUAUUAUUAAUGUCGUCUGAGUACUAUAUAAUAGUUAAAACUUUCAACAACGGAUCUCUUGGUUCUG
rnacentral:misc_RNA from 1 species